GCAGACACAUUCCAGCCAAUCAGCAGCAGACCCUCCCUCCGAGACCCUCCCACCUCCUGGACAGCAUCCAUUUUGAAGCUGCAUUCUUAGUGAGCUGUCCAGGAGGUGGGAGGGUCUGGGAGGGAGGGUCUGCUGCUGAUUGGCUGGAAUUUGUCUG